GCCUCCCUCCGCCGCCACUCAGACUCCGUACGGGAGGCGAGCAGGUGGGAAGUAUUGCGCAAUGGGACGAAAGCCUGACGCAGCGACGCCGCGUGGGGAGCUCGGUUGUAACCCUUUCAGCAGGGACGAAGCGAAAGUGACGGUACCUGCAGAAGAAGCGCCGGCUAACUACGUGCCAGCAGCCGCGGUAAUAC
rnacentral:rRNA from 1 species